UUUCUAUGAUGAUUUUCAGAUCUUGGUCCGUGUUUAUGACCCUCAUGAUUAAUGAGAUCUCCUUUUCCUGAGUCA